UCGUGCUGUGGUAUGGAAGAAACUACUAGAAAGAAAAUUAACUGUUAAGCUGAAACCAGCAGAGCAGUGUAAUUUUAAUUACCAUUUCUCAAGCAAUACAUAAAAAGAGUAUAAUAAAAUUUUCCAUUGCACGUUGAUUAGCUAGAAGAAAUGUCAGGUAGGCAAAUUGGUGCAAUUCUUACUAAAAGCUGAUUCUGAAUAAUAUUCAAAGCAUCAUGUAACAGAAGGCUUUUGUGUCAGUGUAUAUAAAAUUGACAGGAUCGUUCCAUUGUCUGGUAAGUCAGUAAGUGGCAAGGGGCAACCAGCUAUGAUUUACAUUUAAGCCGAAGUAUAUAUAUAUUCAUUCAGUAAGGUAUGUGAUACCUCUCCUUGUAUGCUUGUAGCUUGUAAUGUUAGUGGAAUUCUGUAAAGUGAUGCCCUGAUCAGCAAGGAACUGGGGGGUGCAUUUAAGUUUUAUCCUACUGAAACCAGUGCUGCUUAUAUGCUUUAAGGUGGUGCCCCUAAAGUAUCUUGCUGAAAUGGCAGUUGGCACAUUAACAUAUGCUCCAAUUCAGUUGUUUAUUUGUCUGUAUCUUCAUGUUAUCAUACAAUAGAUCAUUGAGAGCAGUUCCAUAAAUGUGAUAAUGUGGAAGGUACUGCUACCUUAAAGGGUUUUUUUUUUUUUGUAACAUAAUGUUAAUCGACUCCUUCAUCACAGUAUUACAUGUAAAUAUUCAGUAAAUGUUAUUGAUACACUGUCUUUUAUUUAAAUUCAGGAUGUACAGUAAAUGGUGUUUUUGACAUAGAUGAUUAAAGGAAUUCAUAUCACUACUGUUUGCAAGUUUAUCGUAAGAUCAUUUAGCUUCAACAGUUGGUUUGUUAUUAGAAUUUACUCUAAAAGUGUACUUUAUUGGCAUUUAAAACUGAGCAGUGAUGACUUCUGUUGCUGCAGUUUUGAUCUCAGAGGUUGCCUACCCAGGGGAUUUAUUCCAUAGUAAAUGUGUGAAUUCAGCUGUUGUAAGCAAGUGUCUCCCGGACUGUUGGCGUGUGAAGUUGCUGUACAUUUACAGCCUACUUUUCUGCAUAGUUAUUCAUGCAGAUGAAUUGUCAGAAUAAACUACUUACUACUUACUGCCCAGUGGUUUUUCUUAGAAUUUGUCUCAAUUUCUGGUCAAUUACAGAUGCUGUUGUGAAAUCCUUUCUGUGCUGUAUAAAGCCAAUGUUUGGUGGAACCAAGGUUCUAAAGACUAACGAGGGAACACUAAAUGCUAAAGAAGAAACUGAACUUUUUCAGUUUAAUGUGAAUCAUGCUAUUGCUUGACAUUUUCACUUGAGUUGUAUUUCACUGUGUAGAUGGGAUCACACUAUGUCAUUGGAAAACCUAUUGUGUUUCAGCCACAGACUGUGUUCCCAUCACAGUGGCUAAAAGCCUUAAGACUUUAAAAAGGUCAAAACCAAGGUCCUUUCCUUUUGCAAAACCUUAGUGGUUUGUUUUUUGGUUUUUUUUAACCUGUUCCUUCUGUGUUUAUGUUCAGCUGCCAAUGGCCUCAAGCGGCUUCCUACCCCACAAGGACUAAGGGUGGUGAGGAAUAAGGAAGGCCUUGUGGAAAAAGAUAAAAAAGCACUGUGUUGUGGAAUACUCUACUAGCCUACAUUUUUAGGGAAUCCAGCAAGUGAUCCAAGGGAUAGCUGUAAUAUUUUCAUAGGAAGAAAGUGACUACCAUGAAAUGAACCAGGACAGGCAGGUGUAGCUUUGAUUUUACUUGCAAGGAGUUUUGAGCUGUUAGGUGACCUGUCUAUCUUUUGAACUGUUUUGCGAUACGUGCAUGCCAUCACUAAAUGUCUCUCGCCAUUUGAUAAUAAAGCUAUUACAUAAAACAUGGAACAUUGUAUCUUUUAGUACAAUGAAGCAUACUAAACUUCACAUUAAGCUUAUCUUUAUUAUUGACCUGUUUAAAAGGGAUGAAUUCUUAAAUGGUGUUUUUAAUGACUGAUUAAAAAUUAAACUGAAGCUGUUUACAUCUGUAGAUGAGAUUAAUUUUGUUUCUACCUCUAUUUCAGAAUAUGUAGAUACACUUGACUUUUUUGUCUAAUUUCUCACAACAGUAAUUUUGAAAAGUUUUUGUAUUUUGCACUGAAAGGCGUAAUUUGCUUUUUUAUGGAUUCUUGAUGAAAGGCUCAUGUGCUGAACUUAUAAUGCAUCUUCCCUUUAUAUUCUGUUCUUUCCAGUUUAUGAAAUUCUCCCUUUGUGCCUUGUAUAGAAAAUUGAUGCUGAAAGCUUGCCAAAAGUUUAAGAAAACAGAAGUAAAAGUUAAAAGUAUACAAGGAAGAAUUUGGGUUUGGAUUAUGACAGCUAAAUCAAUGACUGGUGUAUAACUAUGCAAGAGGCUUGUAAAAACUUCUUUCUGUAGAUGGUCUUCAAAGCACAGAAAAUUCUGCUUCUGCACACCUCUAGGACUCCAAUAUCAUCCUCAUAGUCUCAGGUCAGCAGGCUCUGGAGAGGAGUGGGAGUGCCACAGUGGAAUAUACCUUUUAAAAUCUUGUAUUGUAACUAAGAUGUAAUGUUAUGGGAAUAAAUUCUGAUUUUUCUUUCACACUUGCCCUUGAGCAGUUGUAUCCAGUAAUUUGGAAUUUGCAGUGUUUACUGUACUUGGAAAAAUUCUAUGCCGUGAAAAGGUGCUUUGAGCAAAUAACAAUUCCACAGACUUUCUCAACAUCAUAAAUAAUACUUAGAAGAAUUCAUAAUGUAGUUUAGUGUUGUGGCCUUACUCAAGAACAUCUAAGCAAUUCACAGUUUACUGACAAAAUUGCCAUAUUUUGGGUGUUUCCUGUGAUGGAAAUGUUGCUCAAGAAGACUGACAGAUUAAAGCUACUAGCCUUUGAAUUAG